GGGUGCGAUCAUACCAGCACUAAAGCACCGGAUCCCAUCAGAACUCCAAAAUUAAGCGGGCUUGGGCGAGAGUAUUAGUAGGAUGGGUGCCUUUUUGGGAAGUCCUCGUGUUGCACCCC
rfam:Nelumbo nucifera unplaced genomic scaffold scaffold00736, whole genome shotgun sequence